rnacentral:rRNA from 1 species
GAUGAACGCUGGCGGCGUGCCUAAUACAUGCAAGUCGAGCGAAUGGAUUAAGAGCUUGCUCUUAUGAAGUUAGCGGCGGACGGGUGAGUAACACGUGGGUAACCUGCCCAUAAGACUGGGAUAACUCCGGGAAACCGGGGCUAAUACCGGAUAACAUUUUGAACCGCAUGGUUCGAAAUUGAAAGGCGGCUUCGGCUGUCACUUAUGGAUGGACCCGCGUCGCAUUAGCUAGUUGGUGAGGUAACGGCUCACCAAGGCAACGAUGCGUAGCCGACCUGAGAGGGUGAUCGGCCACACUGGGACUGAGACACGGCCCAGACUCCUCCGGAGGCAGCAGUAGGGAACCUUCCGCAAUGGACGAAAGUCUGACGGAGCAACGCCGCGUGAGUGAUGAAGGCUUUCGGGUCGUAAAACUCUGUUGUUAGGGAAGAACAAGUGCUAGUUGAAUAAGCUGGCACCUUGACGGUACCUAACCAGAAAGCCACGGCUAACUACGUGCCAGCCGCCGCGGUAA